UGUCCAGCUGCUGCGUAGAUAUUUUUAUAUUCUGUUUGUGUCAUGGUUCUGGCUCGGCUGUCACUCUCUUGCAGCAUGGCCUUUUAUCCACCAGUGAGCUCUGCUGAUGCAACACAACCAAGGAAACCUCCUUUACCGGUUUCGCUACUUUCACUGAGGCUCCCCACACAGCCGAUGCCAGAUUAUUUAAAAGUAUUUGUGUGUGUGUAGGUGUCCAGCUCUCUUGGCCCGCCUUACCUCUUCAUGACCACAUUCUCACUUCCUGGAUUUCCCUCGCUCACCUUGCCCUUAUUGGACACCUCGUGGGCUUCUGGUUUCUGAACCAAGACCAAGUUUAUUCCCCGUGACUUCCCUGUGUUUGACUCUCGCCCCGAUAAAUGAUUCCCCUCAAGCCUUCGCCCUCAUCUCACCUUUGUCCGUCUCCAUCCGGAUCAAGACCAACACUCCAUCCCUGUCUCUGAAAAGUUGUUUCCUGUGAGCGCUCCUGGCGGUUUCCUGUUUUCUACCAGCGAACCUUCCUUAAUCUUUUAAAACGCACUCCGUGUUAAACUGAAUUUCUGAAUUCUCAGUCUGUGCCAUUCCAUCCAUCCUUUUUCCAAGACACUUAGCCCUAUUGGGGUGGCGAGGGGUGCUGGCGCCUAUCUCCAGCUGUCAAUGAAUGAGAGGCCGUUACAGUUUGGGACAUAUUUUUCAAUCCCUUCAGUUUUCUUUGUUUUCCAUUUUUCUAACAAUUACGUCCCAGUAUUUGCUGCUGAACAAGGUCGUGGACUUUUGGCUAACCGAUUCUGUGAAGCAAUGAUGUUGUAGUCCAAGCUGGAGGGUGUCGAAGCUACAACUGGAUAAGUCAACCCCAGACAGUCAACAAGCCCGUUCAGGAGAUCCAGUCUCUUACUUACACAGUAGGUACUGGACAUUAAAUUCACCUUCACCUCCUGCACUGCAUGCUUACGGGAGCAGAAGCUCUGGUUGCAGGAUCAUAACUGCUUCAACCCCCCCUCCCUCCGCUCACACAGCGAGCUGCCAAACACUCAAUAAAGCAGCUAAACCUCGGCUGACUGGACCCCAGGGUCAGAGUGAAUCACAUCGCAGGCUUGUAAAAAUGUUUUUCCUUCCCUCUCACUCUCUUCUUUUCUUUCUCCACCUUAGCUCCUCUACUCUGUUAUUACCAUCAGGCAGGUUCCUUUUACUCACACAGAGAGAGGCAUGCCUUUCAUCACAACAACUCUAUAGUAGGAGUGUGAAACGCCAUGCCGAUCAUCUGCCCAGCCGGUGACAGUCGGCUGGAGGUGAGGACGUGCCCCGGCCGUAAACGUGUCCUGACUCCUGCUCUGCACAUGAUUUGUCCUCUUGAUCUAAAAUGAAAUGUCUGCUCAUGUUAA